CCUGGCUCAGGAUGAACGCUAGCGGCAGGCUUAACACAUGCAAGUCGAACGGUAACAUGAGUGCUUGCACUUGAUGACGAGUGGCGCACGGGUGCGUAACGCGUAUGCAACCUACCUUUAACUGGAGAAUAGCCUUUAGAAAUGAAGAAUAAUACUCCAUAAUAUUAUCUUACGGCAUCGUAAGAUUCUUAAAGCUUCGGCGGUUAAAGAUGGGCAUGCGUUCUAUUAGUUAGUUGGUGAGGUAAUGGCUCACCAAGACUCCGAUAGAUAGGGGGCCUGAGAGGGUUAUCCCCCACACUGGUACUGAGACACGGACCAGACUCCUACGGGAGGCAGCAGUGAGGAAUAUUGCACAAUGGACGAAAGUCUGAUGCAGCCAUGCCGCGUGCAGGAUGAAUGCCCUAUGGGUUGUAAACUGCUUUUAUAUAGGAAGAAACUUUUCUACGUGUAGAGAACUGACGGUACUAUAAGAAUAAGGACCGGCUAACUCCGUGCCAGCAGCCGCGGUAAUACGGAGGGUCCAAGCGUUAUCCGGAUUCAUUGGGUUUAAAGGGUCCGCAGGCGGGAAAAUAAGUCAGUGGUGAAAUCCUGCAGCUUAACUGUAGAACUGCCAUUGAAACUGUUUUUCUUGAAUAUAGAUGAAGUGGGCGGAAUAUAUCAUGUAGCGGUGAAAUGCAUAGAUAUGAUAUAGAACACCGAUUGCGAAGGCAGCUCACUAAACUAUUAUUGACGCUCAGGGACGAAAGCGUGGGGAGCGAACAGGAUUAGAUACCCUGGUAGUCCACGCCGUAAACGAUGAUUACUCGUUAUUGGCGAUACAAUGUCAGUGACUAAGCGAAAGUGAUAAGUAAUCCACCUGGGGAGUACGAUCGCAAGAUUGAAACUCAAAGGAAUUGACGGGGGCCCGCACAAGCGGUGGAGCAUGUGGUUUAAUUCGAUGAUACGCGAGGAACCUUACCAGGGCUUAAAUGCAGAACGACAGAUUUGGAAACAAGUCCUUCUUCGGACGGACUGCAAGGUGCUGCAUGGUUGUCGUCAGCUCGUGCCGUGAGGUGUCGGGUUAAGUCCCAUAACGAGCGCAACCCCUAUCGUUAGUUGCCAGCGGGUCAUGCCGGGGACUCUAGCGAAACUGCCGGUGUAAACCGAGAGGAAGGUGGGGAUGACGUCAAAUCAGCACGGCCCUUAUGUCCAGGGCUACACACGUGUUACAAUGGUCGGUACAAUGGGCAGCUACCUGGCAACAGGAUGCUAAUCUCCAAAGCCGAUCCCAGUUCGGAUCGGAGUCUGCAACUCGACUCCGUGAAGUUGGAUUCGCUAGUAAUCGUAUAUCAGCAAUGAUACGGUGAAUACGUUCCCGGGCCUUGUACACACCGCCCGUCAAACCAUGGAAGUCGGUAACACCCGAAGUCAGUGGCCCAACUCGUAAGAGGGGGAGCUGCCGAAGGUGGGAUCGGUGAUUGGGGUGAAGUCGUAACAAGGUAAAUCACUAGU
rnacentral:rRNA from 1 species